CAAAUUAUUUGUUACUUAAGUGCUUACAUAAAAAUUAACAUCAUCCAUUCCCUCACUAGAUUUUGUUUUCCAGACGUUGUUUCCAUCACUUAAAUUAUCACUAAGACUAUCAUCAGGUACGUACGCAAUUAACAAUUCCUUUUUUUUUUUCUUUCUUUUUUCCCAAUAGUCAGAAAUCUUCAUUAAUUUGUACCUUAGAUUGAUUUGUUAUUAUUCUACCAAACAUCAAUCAGUAUUAAAAAUAUUUUAAUCAUAUGUCUAGAUUAAUUUUUUGUUAUUGUUGUGAUGAAUUUUGAGUAAGAUGGCAUGAUUUAGGUAUAAAGGAAAGGUAGAGAAUGGAAUUGGUGAUAUCGCUACCAUUAAUAGUGUUAAUCUUGAUAUUGGCUUUAGCAUGCUACCUUUUGGGGAGGUGCAGGGGUAGUAAACAAUCAAUUUCUCAUCCACAACAGUUUGGGCCUCCAGCUCCUCCACCACAAGCCCAACCAUGAUAACAAAAGGCCCAAAAUUGUUUUAGAUUAUUAUUAGUAUAUGGUUAUUGGACUUUGAAAACUAACUAUUAUAUGUAAUUGUAAAUAAUUAUCUAGUAAUACUAUGUUAAUGCUAUAUUCAUGUAGAAUUGAGCAACACAGAAGGAGAAAAAUUGUCGUAAUACGAUUGAUAUUUAUUAUUGUUACUCAUUCAUGACUUUAUCUUGAAUGUAUAGUUGAAAAAUUUAAUUUUGUUUUCCCAUUAACAGUAUGUUGAAUACUUGAAUGGUUGUUGUUUUGGGAUUAGAUUCAAGAUUAAGACAUGAAUGAGUAACAAUAUAAUAUGUAGUUUUGUUUUUUGGUUACAUGAUAAAAGCAAAAAGAAAAAAGAAAAAGUAAAAGAAAAAACUAUUGGCCGCGAAAAUAAUUGACAUCCAUACUAUCCGCCAUAAGUAGUAAACGGAGUUCAGCUGGAGGAUCAAGAACCAUCAAUAGUUUGCUCAUAGAUCUUGUCCCAAACUUUGCUAAAGAGUCAACACACAUAUUACCCUCUUUGAGUGAGUGACACACAGUGGCGGAACUAGGGGAGGGCUGAGGCGGGCUGCGGCCCUCCCCCAAAAAAUAGGAAAUUACUAAUAUACCCUUGGUAUUUUCAUAAAAUUACAUUAGUAUAAUACUAUAUAUAUUUGUGAAGGUAAUUAGAAAUGGAAGUGCAGCGUUAGCCUAGCUGGUAGAGGUUUCAAUGCCUAAUGCAUUGGAUUUGAAGGUCAUGGGUUCGAACCAUGCCUUCUUUGGUUUUGCUUUUUUUUUAUAUCAAAAAUCAACUUUAACACACAUUCUUGAGGAUAAAUGUCGUCUUAAACAUGUAAAUACAUAAUUUUGAGAUUAAUGUUUUUCUUAUGAUAUAUCAAUUCACAAUUUUUAUUUUUACCAAAAAAAAUAAAACACAACUAUUUUUAAUUUAUUUAAUUCGUGUGUAAUUAUUAUCUUAUAUUUAUUAAUGAAUAAAUUUCAAUCUAAUUUUUUUUUAUUGUCUAAUUAAGCAAGCAUUAGUUCAAAGUCAACUAUUGAUGAUUUCAAGUCAUUUGACAUACACAGUGUAUUAUUUUUUGGUAUGUAAUUUAAUUUUUUAAUUAUCAAAUUAUUGCUUAUUAUGACUUAAAUUUUUAUACACAAUAUAAUUUUUUUUAUUUAAUUUAUAUAUUAUAAAAAUUUUUAACGGCCCACCCAAAGAAAAAUUCCUAGUUCCGCCACUGGUGACACAGUUAAAAGAUCCAAUCAUUAGCCAUAUUUUUUUUAUUAUAGUUAUCUCGUUCCCGUAGUGAUGAGUGGAAACGUCAGCGCGAUGUACCAGAUGAAUAGUAUGCAUAUAGAAUAGAAUUAAUGUAGCAAAUAAUGUUUAUAAAACCUUUAUUCCAGCAAAUCUGAAUCUCGUGCAUCAGGUCCAAGAUUUCAGCAUUAAGAAUAUUCGAGUAUAACCAAUAUUCCCAUGGAAACCACUAAUAAAGCUUCCAUUGGAAUCUCUCUCUGAUUAAACCUCCAAACCCAGCUAUUCCCGGGUUAGUUAGUUUGCGCGCUCCCAUCCACAUUAAGAACAUAUGAAUCAGGGUUGCCUUUUUGCCGGGCAAUAAGUUGGGGUUGAUGGUUUGUAUUCUCCUUAUAUGCAACGCUGAAAGCAUGAGUAACAUCUCUAGUCAUAGCCUUAAUUGAUUUUUGAUAAUAAUUAAGUCAUAAGAGGUGUGUUGUUAUGAUUAUGAUAAAAAAUCUUUGAAUUUCUAGCACAUCAAAUGGUCCACAUGGUAAUAAGGAUCAUAAUACCAAUCUUAUCAAUAUUGUCAUGAAGAACGACAUUAGGACCCACCCAUAGUCAAGUUCCAAUUGGCCCUUGCUCGAUUACAACAAAAACAAUGAACCAAAAUUUCCGGCUCAUUUUCACACAGGGCAUGUGGUGUCCAAGGGGAUACACCUCUAUGAGUCAGGGUAACACGGUGCAACGCUUGGCAAAGAAAGAAUUUAAUAUUGGCUGGUAAUUUGAAGCCGAUCCAUAACCAUUUCCAAGACUAUAUGGAUAUAAGAGGAUUUGACUCCUCAUAAUUACAAUAAUAUUUAGUUUAAUGGGGAAACAAAAUUAAUAUAUAGUUGAAGAAUUUAAUUUUGUUUUCACUCAAAAGAUAUAUUUACUCAUUCAUGAUUUUAUUUUGAGUUAUUAGUAUUACUGUUUUUUUUUUAAUCCUACAAAAUUUGUUAGUGUUAAAAUUAUCUCAUAUUGUCAAUUUUGGGAUGAUUAAAAAAACAUUGCAAAGAUUAAAAGAAACAAAAAGGGUCAAAAAAGUAAUGUACAUAGCAAAGGUAAAACAACAAAAAAUAUUUUUAUAGAGAUUAUAAGAACAAAAACUGAUCUUCCCUCUGACAUUAAUUAUAAGUAAACUUAUUUUUUAUUCAGAAUUUUUGAAUAAUAACUGAUGCAUUUAAUAUUUAAUAUAAACUAAAUAUAUCAGUUAUUUAAUAAAUUUGAAUAGUAAUUUUUUUUCGAUAAUUAAGAUUUUAUUAAAAAGUUCUAUCCCAAAAGAAAAGAUGGUGAAAAAUACAAACGAACAACAAACUAUCAAAAACUAACAAAAGAUACCACUAAAAAACACCUACUCAAAAGAAGACAAAAAAGAAACUCCUCAACAAGAAACACCUCAUAAUGUUGGUGAAGAAACUAAGAACCCUUAACAAGUGACCACAAAUCACGCCUCAAAAAAAUCUUAAGAGAACAUAUAGCAGAAAAGAAAAUCAUCUAAAGCGCUUUGGAGUAAAUUUUUCUUAAACUUCGUUGGAGUUUAAAUAUUUUAGUCAGACCACCACAUGUUGGUAGUUGAUGAAAAAGUAUUUGAGUUGUUAUUUAUUUUAUGUUACAUGCAUUAAACUUUUGUCUUCUUUCACUGUCUAUAAAUAAUAAAGUAGUUCACCAAGAAAAAAUAUAUGGAAAUAUCAUCGAGUUGACCGUUUCUUCCUUAAUUAGUCUUCAUUCACAAUCACAUGUACUUACCAAGUUUCUUCACGUAGAAAAUUUUCAAAGCAUUUAUGAUUUUAUAUAUUUUGGAUCUAUACGCCACCCUCAAUUUGCUUAAUUUUCUUAUUCUUUUAUCUUCGAUAAUGACUUAUCCCCUUUGUCCUUGCUUUGAGUCAACAAAGUUCAGCGCGUUUCUUUCUUAGAAAAACUUAACAUACUGACUAAGAAGACUUCCAAGUCUUUAUUUGAGGAAUUUCUUUAUUGAUGUAAAGUUAUUAUUUGUGGAAAUUUUUUAAGAAGCCAAUUUUUCUAUUUAAUAAGCAAAGGCAAGUUGUUCUUUUAUAUAAAGACAUAGGGUGCGUUUGAAUCCGUUAAAGAGUAAGUACCGGACAGAACAACACAACACAUGACAGAACAGUACAGAACAAAAUAAAUUUUUAUGAUAUUGAACAAUUUUUUGUUUUAUAUGAUAUUUGGUGAACAAAAUGAUAUUUUAGUAUUUUAGACAAGUUGUACUUGAGACAAAAAGUUGUGUUGUGAUUAAGUGAGGGACAAAAAAUUCUGUUUUUGUGCUGUCCCUUGCCUCCAAAUUUGUCCAGUCCCUCAAACAGUUUUACAAUCAAACACAGUAUAACUGGAGUUGUCUUGUCCAGUCCCUUGUGUUUUUUAGCAGAUCAUCAAACGCAUCCAUAGUAAUAAGUACUAUUUAAGAAUUGUCUACAAACUCUAGUUUAACCGAUAAAAAUAUCGAAAUUGUUAAACUGUACGUCAUGAUCAGAAGCGAACCCUAACUCCCUCCCUUGUAUGUUAGUUUAUAAUAACUUUGGCAUUUUGUUAUUUUAACAACUUCAUGAUUUAUCAUAAUGUUAUGUAGCUAUGAUAUCUUUCUUUAAUUUAUUAGUCAAUGAAUAAAAUCAUUCACUUUUAACUCUAAAGUGAAUUGUUCGAGUCAAACGGUUGGGUUAUGGAAAUUUAUAUUGGACUCAAAACAAUUAUACAAAUAAAUUGGACACUACAUCUUAAUUCUAAACUUUAAGGCGUUAGAUUUAUGAAUUUUUUCACUUAUAAAAUAAUCGAUAUUUAUUUUUUUAAAUAAUGUGAAAUUUAUGAAUCGUGAUUGUGUUUCAUUGACUUGAAAACAGACCACCGCCUGGAAACUGCAGUUACAUUGUUGGCCCACGUCGUUGCAAGAUGCUAAAUAAGCUUUACCUGCAUCUCGGUGCUUCAGUCCACCAUGUGGGAUUCACACUUGGUCUAUUUCUUUGCAGUAAAACUAAUUGAAAAAUGUUAAU
rnacentral:lncRNA from 1 species